UGAAAUGUUGACAAAUUGGAACUGUCACCUGUCACCAUAGCUGACUGCUGCUUGCCAUCCAUACAACACCAGGGCUUCGGACAAAUGGGACUGAUGUCAUCUUGAGCUUUUAUUUUGACCAUGAUUUAUUUGGAGUGGAGACAUUGUUUCUUUU